rnacentral:ncRNA from 1 species
AUAAAUGCUUGUGAGUAAUUCCUUUGGGAUGAAAUAAUAUAUGUAACGAAGGAAUUCAUGACCCUGCUAUAUAAUACAUAUUUUAUAUAACUAAAAUAAUUAUUCUUUCUAUCUGAUCGGACGCUUCUUGCAUGGCUAAAUAUAUUAGUCUAUUUAGUUUCAUGAUCAGUGAUAGCGAGCAUCCAAUGACUAAUAAUAAAUGAUGCAAGAAUAAUAUUCCAAAAGAAAGGAGGUA